rnacentral:misc_RNA from 1 species
AAACGAACCUGAAUACAAGUUUCCCAAUGAGUUGACAGGGAACCAAAAUAACUAGAAAGAUGGCACAAUUCUGCUAAAUACAGAGUUUCCAUGUAAAUAUACUUUGUAAAUGUAUAGCUAAUAAGAAUAAAGAUUUUAUCUCGAUUGAAAGAAACACAGACUUCACAGAGGCAGUGCCUAGGUUCAGAAGCAAGAUACCAUCCAGUUUAUGUAGUGAAGCCUUGGUAGUUGGUAACCCAUAGUUUACACAUCAAUUAUAACAAAUGAAAAUUGAUGUUAAAAAUAUGAAAUUUUAUU